rnacentral:rRNA from 1 species
CCUACGGGUGGCUGCAGUGGGGAAUAUUGCACAAUGGGGGAAACCCUGAUGCAGCGACGCCGCGUGAGCGAUGAAGUAUUUCGGUAUGUAAAGCUCUAUCAGCAGGGAAGAAAAUGACGGUACCUGACUAAGAAGCCCCGGCUAACUACGUGCCAGCAGCCGCGGUAAUACGUAGGGGGCAAGCGUUAUCCGGAUUUACUGGGUGUAAAGGGAGCGUAGACGGCUUGGCAAGCCAGAUGUGAAAGGCUGGGGCUCAACCCCAGGACUGCAUUUGGAACUGUCAUGCUAGAGUGCAGGAGAGGUAAGUGGAAUUCCUAGUGUAGCGGUGAAAUGCGUAGAUAUUAGGAGGAACACCAGUGGCGAAGGCGGCUUACUGGACUGUAACUGACGUUGAGGCUCGAAAGCGUGGGGAGCAAACAGGAUUAGAUACCCCUGUAGUC